GGUCAGUGUCUCCCUGGCAGGGAGCACGUGGGUGGCUCAUGUGGGAACAGCUCCCUGCAGCUCUGUUGGCAGUGCUGGCUCCUGAGGGCCUUGGAAAGCACAGCACAGGCUUGGAAAAAAGCAUGUCAGCCUGGGCAUAGGGAACUCUCUGGAACAACUCCUCUGGCACAGCCAGGUGGGGCACGGCCUCAAGAUUCCCAGGAAAACUGGUUGUGGCAGGCAAGCCCCCACUCCAGGAAGAGGUACAACCCCAGCAGAGGCCAGACCCAGAGGGACCCAGAUGCUUCAGCUGGUCCUCUGGAUGAGAAAGAGAAGGUGGUGGCCUCUGAGGGAAGGAGUAGGGGGUUGCUUGUCCUGCAGGACAGGUUGCUCUGCCCACCUGAGAUCAGGCUUGGUUUUACAGGAGUCCUGGCUCCUUUUUGCCAUGCUUCAUUAAGAGAAGCUCUUUCCAGAAGGGACAAAACCCUCCCGAGAAAUCCCAACACCACCCCAAAAUCCGUAUCUUUGGGGCUGUUACCACUUCCUGGGAAAAUUCAUGCAGUCCAGGGCUGCCCAGCCCACCUUAUUAAUGUUCUCAGCUUCUCCAUCCUACAGAAGUGCCGUUCCCAUGUUGUGACCCACCAUGAGACCAGAUUUCCCCCACCCAGGGGUACCAUGCCCAGUUGGGGCUCCACUAUGGGAAGAGCUGUCUGCCUGGGAUUGCAGAAUUGGACUGUAGUGUCUGGUCUUCCCAUUCCAGCCAGGAGGCUGCUCCCAAAGACACCAUGUCCAGCACAAAGUCAUCCCAAGGAAUCUGUGGCAAAUACACCAUGCCUUGGUGGAAGCAUGGCAGAGACCAGGCAGACCUGGGCAUGCUCUGCAGCCAGGCAGGACAGCAGGAGGACAGCAGAGCUUUGGGUGAGUUACAUGUCCCUUGGGACUUCCCUUCAGCUCAGAGCAGCUGAAGACAAGGCAGGCAGACUGCUUGGAUCACAGGAUCAUUUAGGUUGGAAAAACACCUCCAAGAUAAUCAAGUUCCACCAUUAA
rnacentral:lncRNA from 13 species